rnacentral:rRNA from 1 species
AGUGAAAGACGGUCUUGCUGUCACUUAUAGAUGGAUCCGCGCUGCAUUAGCUAGUUGGUAAAGUAACCGCCUAACAAAGCAACGAUGCAUAGCCGACCUGAGAGGGGUGAUCGGCCACACUGGAACUGAGACACGGUCCGGACUCCUACGGGAGGCAGCAGUAGGGAAUCUUCCGCAAUGGGCGAAAGCCUGACGGAGCAACGCCGCGUGAGUGAUGAAGGUCUUCGGAUCGUAAAACUCUGUUAUUAGGGAAGAACAUAUGUGUAAGUAACUGUGCACAUCUUGACGGUACCUAAUCAGAAAGCCACGGCUAACUACGUGCCAGCAGCCGCGGUAAUACGUAGGUGGCAAGCGUUAUCCGGAAUUAUUGGGCGUAAAGCGCGCGUAGGCGGUUUUUUAAGUCUGACGUGAAAGCCCACGGCUCAACCGUGGAGGGUCAUUGGAAACUGGAAAACUUGAGUGCAGAAGAGGAAAGUGGAAUUCCAUGUGUAGCGGUGAAAUGCGCAGAGAUAUGGAGGAACACCAGUGGCGAAGGCGACUUUCUGGUCUGUAACUGACGCUGAUGUGCGAAAGCGUGGGGAUCAAACAGGAUUAGAUACCCUGGUAGUCCACGCCGUAAACGAUGAGUGCUAAGUGUUAGGGGGUUUCCGCCCCCUUAGUGCUGCAGCUAACGCAUUAAGCACUCCGCCUGGGGAGUACGACCGCAAAG